UGCCCGGUCGGCUAACGGUAGGCCAACGGACUCUGAAUCCGUUUAUCUUGGUUCGAAUCCAAGCUGGGCAG
rnacentral:tRNA from 2 species